rnacentral:lncRNA from 1 species
CAUUCAAAUUCAUAUUGAACUACACUGCAUGUAUGUAGCCAUUUUGUAUUUUGUUCUGCCCUGAUGUCACUUUAUUUUAGCAACAUUUAAUUUGUGAACCAGAAUAAAUAUUGAAAAAGAAUAUCUUCAUUGAAAUAUUGCAAAGCAACAGAAACAAAUUCUGAGUAAUGACAACAAAAAGAGGCUCAUUUGUUUAUUUUUCUCUACUUUUUUUUUUUUUUGAGACAGGGUCUCUCUCUGGGAGCUAGAAUCCAGUUGGGCAAUCUCCGCUCACCACAACCUCCGCCUCCCAGGCUCAAGCGAUUCUCCUGCCUCAGCCUCCCAAGUAGCUGGGAUUACAGGCACGUGCCACUACCACCCGGCUAAUUUUUGUAUUUUUAGUAGAGACAGGAGUUUCACCAUGUUGGCCAGGCUGGUCUGCAACUCCUGACCUCAAAUGAUCUACCCGCCUCCGCCUCCCAAAGUGCUGGGAUUACAGACGUGAGCCACGGCUCCCGGCUGAUAAUUAGAUCUUGAUAGAAUUUUAGAGUAACAUUUUUUAAAAUUGUAACUACAUCCCACAACUAAGUUACCAUUUUUUUAAAGCUGGGUUUCUGUAUUCUUUCUUGCUAAAAAUAUCACCAAGGUGAGUCAGAAAUUUAAACAUAAAUAUAUGACACCAAGAAUGUACCAGAAAUAAUGAAUAAGUAUUUUUAUAGCCUUGCAUUACAGAAGUGUUUUCUAAAUAUUACAGUUAUUUCAGAAGCCAUACAAAGAAUAACCAAUUAGUUCAUACAGAAUUGAAAUUCUAGCUGGGUAUGGUGGCAUGAGCUUAUAGUCUCAGCUACUCGGGAGGCUAAGGUGGGAGGAUCUCUUGAGACCAGGAGUUCUGGGCUGCAGUGCGCUAUGCCAUUGGGGUGUCCACACUGAGUGUGGCAUCACUAUGGCGACCUCCAGGAGUGGAGGCCCACCAAGUUGCCUAAGGAGGGGUGAAACAGGUUGAAAACAGAGGAGAUCAAAACACCCAUGCUGAUCAGUAGUGGGAUUGCACCCGUGAAUAGUCACUACACUCCAGCCUGCAGCAACACAGCAGACCCCAUCUCAUUUAAGAAAAACAAAAUAAGAUUCUGAAGGGUAAAAGUUACUUUAAAUAGAGUUGAAAGAAGAAGCAGGAAAAAUAUUUGUAACAAACAUGACACAAAAGAGGUGAUUUAUUUCAUAAAUAAAGGGCUCUUAUAAAUCAAAUAAAAGCAGUCAAAAAAUCAAAGUGGGACAAGGGGAUGAGGAGGCCAUUUCCAUUACCUGUCAUCCAUUCUUUGAUAAGAACAACGAACAAUAGACCUUUUCUCAAUCUUAUGUAAACUAUGGCACAAUCACAAUUUUAAGGCAAGGUCCUUAGCUUUACCCUUUCCAACAAGGUUGCUUAUCUUAAACUCUUUCUGUAUAGAAAUUCCGGUGUUGCCACUAAAAAGAAGACACUCAAUUCAACAGAAUAAUGGGCAAAGAACAUAAGUAGGCAAUAUAAAACAAUCACAUAAAAAUAUAUUCAACCCCAGUCAUCGUUACAGAAAGUUACAUUAAGAUAAUAAUGUGAUAUCAUUUCCCAUCUAUCAAAUGAGUAAAGAUUUAAGACUGAAGUUACCCUGUGUUAGAGAAAGUUAGGCAAAUGGGCAUUCUUAUUUAUUAUUGGUGGGAGUGUAAACUGGUACAACUUUAGGGCUGCAUUUAAUAUAUAUAUACAAAAAUAUAUAGGGGUGUGUGUGUGUGUGUGUGUGUGUGUGUCUGUGUGUGUAUGUCUCCUUUACCCAGCAAUUCCACUUUUAGAAAUUUAUCUUAUAGAUAUACUUGUAUAUACAUACUAUAAGUAUAUAUGCAUACUAUAAUGUAUCUUAUAGAAAUACUUGCAUAUACAAGUACACAAAGACUACAUAUGUAUGUAUACGUUAUAUAUGUGUGUGUGUAUGUGUGUGCGUGUGUGUGUG